rnacentral:rRNA from 1 species
AACGAACGCUGGCGGCAUGCCUAACACAUGCAAGUCGAACGAAGUCUUCGGACUUAGUGGCGCACGGGUGCGUAACGCGUGGGAAUCUGCCCUUGGGUGCGGAAUAACUUCUCGAAAGGGAUGCUAAUACCGCAUAAUGUCGUAAGACCAAAGAUUUAUCGCCCAAGGAUGAGCCCGCGUAAGAUUAGCUAGUUGGUGGGGUAAAAGCCUACCAAGGCGACGAUCUUUAGCUGGUCUGAGAGGAUGAUCAGCCACACUGGGACUGAGACACGGCCCAGACUCCUACGGGAGGCAGCAGUGGGGAAUAUUGGACAAUGGGCGAAAGCCUGAUCCAGCAAUGCCGCGUGAGUGAUGAAGGCCUUAGGGUUGUAAAGCUCUUUUACCCGGGAAGAUAAUGACUGUACCGGGAGAAUAAGCCCCGGCUAACUCCGUGCCAGCAGCCGCGGUAAU